GAUGAGCGCUGGCGGCGUGCCUAACACAUGCAAGUCGAACGGAGUCCAGCCUUUAAGACCUUCGGGUCAAAGAGGGGAAGACUGAGUGGCGGACGGGUGAGUAACACGUGGGCAACCUGGCUCAUAGAGGGGGAUAACAGAGAGAAAUUUCUGCUAAUACCGCAUAAGCACACACUGCCGCAUGGCAGAGGGUGAAAAGAGAAUCGCUAUGAGAUGGACCCGCGUCUGAUUAGCCAGUUGGCAGGGUAAGAGCCUACCAAAGCGACGAUCAGUAGCCGAUCUGAGAGGAUGAACGGCCACAUUGGGACUGAGACACGGCCCAAACUCCUACGGGAGGCAGCAGUGGGGGAUAUUGCACAAUGGGGGGAACCCUGAUGCAGCGACGCCGCGUGAGUGAAGAAGUAUUUCGGUAUGUAAAGCUCUAUCAGCAGGGAAGAUAAUGACAGUACCUGAAGAAGAAGCCCCGGCUAACUACGUG
rnacentral:rRNA from 1 species